UUAAGUGACUAAGCGUACACGGUGGAUGCCUAGGCAGUCAGAGGCGAUGAAGGGCGUGCUAAUCUGCGAAAAGCGUCGGUAAGGUGAUAUGAACCGUUAUAACCGGCGAUACCCGAAUGGGGAAACCCAGUGCAAUUCGUUGCACUAUCGUUAAGUGAAUACAUAGCUUAACGAGGCGAACCGGGGGAACUGAAACAUCUAAGUACCCCGAGGAAAAGAAAUCAACCGAGAUUCCCCCAGUAGCGGCGAGCGAACGGGGAACAGCCCAGAACCUGAAUCAGUUCUUGUGUUAGUGGAAGCGUCUGGAAAGUCGCGCAGUAAAGGGUGAUAGCCCCGUACACUAAAAUGCAUUNNNNNNNNUAGUUGCAAGGUAUAGACCCGAAACCCGGUGAUCUAGCCAUGGGCAGGUUGAAGGUUGGGUAACACUAACUGGAGGACCGAACCGACUAAUGUUGAAAAAUUAGCGGAUGACUUGUGGCUGGGGGUGAAAGGCCAAUCAAACCGGGAGAUAGCUGGUUCUCCCCGAAAGCUAUUUAGGUAGCGCCUCGUGAACUCAUCUUCGGGGGUAGAGCACUGUUUCGGCUAGGGGGCCAUCCCGGCUUACCAAACCGAUGCAAACUCCGAAUACCGAAGAAUGUUAUCACGGGAGACACACGGCGGGUGCUAACGUCCGUCGUGAAGAGGGAAACAACCCAGACCGCCAGCUAAGGUCCCAAAGUCAUGGUUAAGUGGGAAACGAUGUGGGAAGGCAUAGACAGCCAGGAUGUUGGCUUAGAAGCAGCCAUCAUUUAAAGAAAGCGUAAUAGCUCACUGGUCGAGUCGGCCUGCGCGGAAGAUGUAACGGGGCUAAACCAUGCACCGAAGCUGCGGCAGCGACGCUUAGGCGUUGUUGGGUAGGGGAGCGUUCUGUAAGCCGUUGAAGGUGGCCUGUGAGGGUUGCUGGAGGUAUCAGAAGUGCGAAUGCUGACAUAAGUAACGAUAAAGCGGGUGAAAAGCCCGCUCGCCGGAAGACCAAGGGUUCCUGUCCAACGUUAAUCGGGGCAGGGUGAGUCGACCCCUAAGGCGAGGCUGAAAAGCGUAGUCGAUGGGAAACAGGUUAAUAUUCCUGUACUCGGUGUUNCUGCGAAGGGGGGACGGAGAAGGCUAGGCUAGCCGGGCGACGGUUGUCCCGGUUUAAGCGUGUAGGGGGGUGUUCCUGGUAAAUCCGGAACGCUAUCAACCCUGAGGCGUGAUGACGAUGCACUACGGUGCAGAAGUAGUUGAUGCCAAGCUUCCAGGAAAAGCCUCUAAGCAUCAGGUAACACAGAAUCGUACCCCAAACCGACACAGGUGGUCAGGUAGAGAAUACCAAGGCGCUUGAGAGAACUCGGGUGAAGGAACUAGGCAAAAUGGUGCCGUAACUUCGGGAGAAGGCACGCUGGCGCGUAGGUGAAGUCCCUUGCGGAUGGAGCUGAAGCCAGUCGCAGAUACCAGCUGGCUGCAACUGUUUAAUAAAAACACAGCACUGUGCAAACACGAAAGUGGACGUAUACGGUGUGACGCCUGCCCGGUGCUGGAAGGUUAAUUGAUGGGGUCAGCCGCAAGGCGAAGCUCUUGAUCGAAGCCCCAGUAAACGGCGGCCGUAACUAUAACGGUCCUAAGGUAGCGAAAUUCCUUGUCGGGUAAGUUCCGACCUGCACGAAUGGCGUAAUGAUGGCCAGGCUGUCUCCACCCGAGACUCAGUGAAAUUGAACUCGCUGUGAAGAUGCAGUGUACCCGCGGCAAGACGGAAAGACCCCGUGAACCUUUACUAUAGCUUGACACUGAACAUUGAGCCUUGAUGUGUAGGAUAGGUGGGAGGCUUUGAAGCGUGGACGCCAGUCUGCGUGGAGCCAACCUUGAAAUACCACCCUUUAAUGUUUGAUGUUCUAACUCGGCCCCAUAAUCUGGGGUGAGGACAGUGUCUGGUGGGUAGUUUGACUGGGGCGGUCUCCUCCCAAAGAGUAACGGAGGAGCACGAAGGUUAGCUAAUCACGGUCGGACAUCGUGAGGUUAGUGCAAAGGCAUAAGCUAGCUUGACUGCGAGAGUGACGGCUCGAGCAGGUACGAAAGUAGGUCUUAGUGAUCCGGUGGUUCUGAAUGGAAGGGCCAUCGCUCAACGGAUAAAAGGUACUCCGGGGAUAACAGGCUGAUACCGCCCAAGAGUUCAUAUCGACGGCGGUGUUUGGCACCUCGAUGUCGGCUCAUCACAUCCUGGGGCUGAAGUAGGUCCCAAGGGUAUGGCUGUUCGCCAUUUAAAGUGGUACGCGAGCUGGGUUUAGAACGUCGUGAGACAGUUCGGUCCCUAUCUGCCGUGGGCGUUGGAAGAUUGAGAGGGGUUGCUCCUAGUACGAGAGGACCGGAGUGAACGCACCACUGGUGUUCGGGUUGUCAUGCCAAUGGCACUGCCCGGUAGCUAAGUGCGGAAAAGAUAAGCGCUGAAAGCAUCUAAGCGCGAAACUUGCCUCGAGAUGAGUCUUCCCUGGGCCUUUAAGGUCCCUGAAGGAACGUUUAAGACUAAGACGUUGAUAGGCUGGGUGUGUAAGUGCAGCGAUGUAUUGAGCUAACCAGUACUAAUGAUCCGUGAGGCUUAACCUU
rnacentral:rRNA from 1 species